ACAAGGAUAGGCUCGAAAUCCUAUGGAAUAACAUGUUCACUUUUAUACCCAUUAAACCUUCUCUUUAGUGGAAAUGGUUGGCAAAGAUUUUCUUGAAAACAUUUGGGAUUUGCCCCUCUUUUUCACCAGUCAGCCAAUAGGGAUGUUGUACUAUGUACUGUAUGCCUAUGGGUCUAUAUUAUAUACGCUUAGCGUUAUGUUAUAAGUUAUAUUUUGAUGCGUAACUUCAUUUUUUAACUAAAAUUCCAUCAAAUAAGUAUUAUGUUCGAUAAUGACUCUAACUUUGAGUUAUACGUACCAAGUAAACAUUACGAAUAUUUUGUAUUCUAGUAACGUGAUUAAUGAUUAUUAUAUUAUGGAGAAUAGUGAAAGUUGUUACUAAUAAUAGAGUCAGGAUUCAACGUAUAUAAUAUAUAUAAAAAGUAAUUUUAAUCAUUUAUGAAUAAUGUAAUUUUUCGUUGAAGGGUUGGAUGUACCCCUGGCCCCAAGCUAGCACUGCCCCUGGACUUGUUGGGCUGGAUAUGGGGGAGUAGAAGCCUGAUGUUUGUAGUUGUAUGUGUCCAUUUGAAUAAUGCUCUAAAGAUGUUUGAUGAAGUGUUUGAAUGAAAGUUUCUUCCAAAUAUGGAAAGUUUUAAGUAUUUUAAUCCAUGGACCAUGAGUUUUGGCAGCUAUUAAUAAGGGUGUCACAUUUGUUGGUUUGUAUGAUGAGAGAUGCAUUGGUUCAUGUGGGGAAUUUCGGGAUGUGACGGAAAAACAUGAGCGGAAAAUGGAUAUGUUUGCUUGUAGUUCCAUGAUUUGUUUGUGGGUGAACAGGCAAUGUUUAUUCAAGGAAAUAAUUGAGAAUGUUAUUACUUGAUGUUGUGGUUUAUGAUGCAUACUCAAUGGUUGUUGAAAUAAGGUUGGAAAGAUUUAAGUGUUUCAAGAUUGCAGCAGUUGACGGGCUGUGUGAGAAUGGAUGUCUGAACAAGUCUGUAACUUUGUUUGGAUUUUGAAAUGAUGGAGGAGAAAUGGAUACUUUAGCAUAUACGUCUAGUUAAUGUAGGUUAUGCAGAUAUGGAAAAAUGAAUGAUUUGAUGUCAAACAGGGAACUACACGAUAUUCUCAACUUACAAUACCUUUUCAAUGGCUUUGUCAAAGCCUUUGAAAUUGAGGAUGCUAACAGGUUUUUGGUGAAAUGAACACUUAUUAAAGCUAUCAGGUGAUUUUCUUUUUGCAGGAGCAAGAUUGCUUCUUGGUGCAGGAUUGCCAUUUAAUACUUACUAUGAAGGAAAAUUUGUUCCACAAUACCAUGCUUCCUGCUUUGAACCGUAAAAUAAAGCUCUUUUCACCUCAGGUGAUUAUAUCUUAUUAUCAUUAGCAUGCCAGGCUAUAUUGGGUAAAAGUUAUACUGUAACAAUCAUGCAUGGGUUAUUCUGUUGUGUGCAUCUUGGUUUUCUACGAACAUUCCUCGAUUCUCUUUUUUUUUUUACAAGUUCGCUAGAGUAUCCUUGAUAUUUCUCUGUGCUUGACACUUCCCCUGAAAGACGGGUUUAAGGAUGUUAAAUGGACCUAGCCAGUGCACCAGAUAUUAUGAUCUCAUGUCUACUGAUUUUUUACUAUAAUAUGCCUCCUAUUGAUGCCUUUUGUAGUAGUACAAGUUUAUCCAAGUGUGUAGUUAUGAGAGGAACAGUAAAGGGAACACAAAAUUUAAUUAACAGUAUUGGACUUUUUAUGUGAA